CAGUAGCCACGGUAAAACGAGGGGAGCUAGCGUUGUUCGGAAUUACUGGGCGUAAAGCGCGCGUAGGCGGCUUUUUAAGUCAGAGGUGAAAGCCCGGGGCUCAACCCCGGAAUUGCCUUUGAAACUGGAAAGCUAGAAUCUUGGAGAGGUCAGUGGAAUUCCGAGUGUAGAGGUGAAAUUCGUAGAUAUUCGGAAGAACACCAGUGGCGAAGGCGACUGACUGGACAAGUAUUGACGCUGAGGUGCGAAAGCGUGGGGAGCAAACAGGAUUAGAUACCCCGGUAGUCCCUGUCUCUUAUAC
rnacentral:rRNA from 1 species